CCAGACUCCUACGGGAGGCAGCAGUGAGGAAUAUUGGUCAAUGGCCGAGAGGCUGAACCAGCCAAGUCGCGUGAGGGAGGACGGCCCUACGGGUUGUAAACCUCUUUUGUCAGGGAGCAAGGGACAGGUCGUGACCUGUUGUGAGAGUACCUGAAGAAAAAGCAUCGGCUAACUCCGUGCCAGCAGCCGCGGUAAUACGGAGGAUGCGAGCGUUAUCCGGAUUUAUUGGGUUUAAAGGGUGCGUAGGCGGGACCUUAAGUCAGCGGUAAAAUUGCGGUGCUCAACGCCGUAGAGCCGUUGAAACUGGGGUUCUUGAGUGAGCGAGAAGUAUGCGGAAUGCGUGGUGUAGCGGUGAAAUGCAUAGAUAUCACGCAGAACCCCGAUUGCGAAGGCAGCAUACCGGCGCUCAACUGACGCUGAGGCACGAAAGUGCGGGUAUCGAACAGGAUUAGAUACCCCUGUA
rnacentral:rRNA from 1 species